CUCCCGGGGACGCCGGGGAGGGGAUUGGGAACUGCCGGGCCGCUCCCCGCCGGCGGGCCACAGCCCCGGGCGCGGGUGGAGCCGGGCUAGGGGGUUGAGGUGCGGAUCGGUUUGGAAGGCGGCGGCGGGCAAAGCUCCAGACGUACUGGGAAUUCACCUCCAAGCCUACGCUUCUGGCCUCUUCCCACGCUCCCUCUGCUGCCUCUGGCCUUUGGAAUGUUACCAGAAUCCAGACCAGCCUCAACCCAGCCUCUGCCGAAAGUCUCAUUCGUGACAUAAUCACUUCUCAUCUCACUUAUUGCAAUCCAUCUUUAAUAGCCUUCCAUCCCUGCUUCGUCGUGCUGCGACUGGCAUGCUCCGUCACUGCAGGAAGUUGGGCCGUUUCAUCACCAUCCUCCAUUGAUCUGCCUUGGCUUCCUGUCCAUCUCUUGCUCCAGUUUAGAAUGAGAUUUCCUGGCUUUCAAAACUCUUCGGAUUCACUUCACCCCUCCUCUCUGGCCCCGAAUACAACCACUCCCUCUGCUUCUCUGAUUUCCAUCCAGCUUCUCCAAUUCACUCUUCCAAGACCCAUCCACCUACUUCCCCAAUCCAUGCCUCCAACAUCCAUUCAGAUAAGAAUUUUGACCCAACCUCAUCUCUUACCAAAAACCACCAAAGCAUUCUGUUUGUUUUUUAAGACUGGUGCUGAGCAUCUACCCUCAGAAAAUUAGGCCCCUUUUGUGGUGUAUCAAAAACAGUGCUGAAAUUACAAACUAUCACUUUAAGUGAAAGGGUUUUCCUGGGUUUGCUUGCAGGCUAGAGGGGUCUUGAGAGAAGUGUUUGAGCAGAGGAGCUGGUAAAGAACCAGCUUAAAGUAAGGUGGGGUGAGCUGUUCCUCGCUGCCUUAAGGAGCAGCCUGCUUUGUCUCUCUCUGUUUUUGUGUGUUAUUGUUCUGAAUUCUAAGCUAUAAAGUAGUGUUACGUUGCAACCUUUCA